rnacentral:sRNA from 1 species
UACUGUUUCAAAUCGUAGGGAUGAGAACCGUGAAGGUUCGAGCCGAACGAAGUGAGACAGCAACGCGAAGGCGUUGCCCCGUAAGGGUGAGUCCGCAGGACGAAUCAUCCCGCACUUUCACCA